GAUGAACGCUGGCGGCGUGCCUAAUACAUGCAAGUCGAGCGAAUGGAUUAAGAGCUUGCUCUUAUGAAGUUAGCGGCGGACGGGUGAGUAACACGUGGGUAACCUGCCCAUAAGACUGGGAUAACUCCGGGAAACCGGGGCUAAUACCGGACAACAUUUUGAACCGCAUGGUUCGAAAUUGAAAGGCGGCUUCGGCUGUCACUUAUGGAUGGACCCGCGUCGCAUUAGCUAGUUGGUGAGGUAACGGCUCACCAAGGCAACGAUGCGUAGCCGACCUGGGAGGGUGAUCGGCCACACUGGAACUGAGACACGGCCCAGACUCCUACGGGAGGCAGCAGUAGGGAAUCUUCCGGAAUGUACGAAAGUGUGACGUAGCAACGCCGCGUGAGUGAUGAAGGCUUGCGGGUCGUAAAACUCUGUUGUUAGGGAAGAACAAGUGCUAGUUGAAUAAGCUGGCACCUUGACGGUACCUAACCAGAAAGCCACGGCUAACUACGUGCCAGCCGCCGCGGUAA
rnacentral:rRNA from 1 species